GAUGAAGAACGUAGCGAAAUGCGAUAAGUAAUGUGAAUUGCAGAAUUCAGUGAAUCAUCGAAUCUUUGAACGCACAUUGCGCCCCCUGGUAUUCCGGGGGGCAUGCCUGUUCGAGCGUCAUUACAACCCUCAAGCUCUGCUUGGUAUUGGGCCCCGCCAGUUCUGGCGGGCCCUAAAGUCAGUGGCGGUGCCUUCCGGCUCCGAGCGUAGUAAUUCUUCUCGCUCUGGAGACCCGGUUGUGUGCUUGCCAACAACCCCCAAUUUUUUAAGGUUGACCUCGGAUCAGGUAGGGAUACCCGCUGAACUUAAGCAUAUCAAUAAGCGGAUGA
rnacentral:misc_RNA from 1 species